GAUGAACGCUGGCGGCGUGCCUAAUACAUGCAAGUCGAGCGAAUGGAUUAAGAGCUUGCUCUUAUGAAGUUAGCGGCGGACGGGUGAGUAACACGUGGGUAACCUGCCCAUAAGACUGGGAUAACUCCGGGAAACCGGGGCUAAUACCGGAUAACAUUUUGAACCGCAUGGUUCGAAAUUGAAAGGCGGCUUCGGCUGUCACUUAUGGAUGGACCCGCGUCGCAUUAGCUAGUUGGUGAGGUAACGGCUCACCAAGGCAACGAUGCGUAGCCGACCUGAGAGGGUGAUCGGCCACAAUGGGACUGGGACACGGCCCAGACUCCUACGGGAGGCAGCAGUAGGGAAUCUUCCGCAAUGGACGAAAGUCUGACGGAGCAACGCCGCGUGAGUGAUGAAGGCUUUCGGGUCGUAAAACUCUGUUGUUAGGGAAGAACAAGUGCUAGUUGAAUAAGCUGACACCUUGACGGUACCUAACCAGAAGGCCACGGCUAACUACGUGCCAGCCGCCGCAGUAA
rnacentral:rRNA from 1 species